rnacentral:snRNA from 1 species
AUUGCUUCUCAGCCUUUUAGCUAAGAUCAAGUGUGGUAUCUGUUCUCAGUGAAGCUAUGAGCCAUGCUGUGUUCAGUUCAGUUCAGUCUCU